CAUUCCCUAAGGGCAGGAACUGCAGUCCUCUUUGUUUACCUCUUUAUGCCCAGAGCCCAAAACAUCUGACAAAUUUGCUCAUCUCUGUCCUGAGGUAGGAGAGUCAUCGGUCUGUCCAAGGAAAUCAAAGUGGACAAGGAACAUCAAAGUGGUCGGUGUGAACGGCUGAUACAGACUGAGCCAGGAAGACAAUGGAAGGAGAUGAGGUCAAAAGUGGUAACCAAGGGGUGUAGAAGGAAGAUAGAGAUCAAGCAGCGGCUUGAAUAACUUGAAAAGACUUUGGCUUUUUCUCAGAGUGAGUUGAGAAGUCCUUGGACAGUAUUGAGUAGGUGUAACAUGAUCUGAUGUGUUUUUAAAAAUUCACUCUAUCUGCGGGUUGAAAAUAAAUCACUAUUCAAGGUCA